CACGGAGUUAGCCGGAGCUUAUUCUCCAGGUACUGUCAUUAUCAUCCCUGGUAAAAGAGCUUUACAACCCUAAGGCCUUCAUCACUCACGCGGCAUUGCUGGAUCAGGGUUUUCCCCCAUUGUCCAAUAUUCCCCACUGCUGCCUCCCGUAGGAGUCUGGGCCGUGUCUCAGUCCCAGUGUGGCUGAUCAUCCUCUCAGACCAGCUAAGGAUCGUCGGCUUGGUAGGCCAUUACCCCACCAACUACCUAAUCCUACGCGGGCUCAUCCCUUGCCGAUAAAUCUUUGGUCCGAAGACAUCAUCCGGUAUUAGCAGCAAUUUCUCACUGUUAUUCCCGAAGCAAGGGGCAGAUUCCCACGCGUUACGCACCCGUGCGCCACUAGAUCCGAAGAUCUCGUUCGACUUGCAUGUGUUAGGCAUGCCGCCAGCGUUCGUUCUGAGCCAGGAUCAAACUC
rnacentral:rRNA from 1 species